rnacentral:rRNA from 1 species
AAACUUUCAACAACGGAUCUCUUGGUUCUCGCAUCGAUGAAGAACGCAGCGANAUGCGAUAAGUAAUGUGAAUUGCAGAAUUCAGUGAAUCAUCGAAUCUUUGUACGCACAUUGCGCCCCUUGGUAUUCCGAGGGGCAUGCCUGUUCGAGCGUCAUUA